rnacentral:rRNA from 1 species
AGUGAACGCUGGCGGUAGGCCUAACACAUGCAAGUCGAACGGCAGCACAGUAAGAGCUUGCUCUUACGGGUGGCGAGUGGCGGACGGGUGAGGAAUACAUCGGAAUCUACUUUUUCGUGGGGGAUAACGUAGGGAAACUUACGCUAAUACCGCAUACGACCUACGGGUGAAAGCAGGGGAUCUUCGGACCUUGCGCGAUUGAAUGAGCCGAUGUCGGAUUAGCCAGUUGGCGGGGUAAAGGCCCACCAAGGCGACGAUCCGUAGCUGGUCUGAGAGGAUGAUCCGCCACACUGGAACUGAGACACGGUCCAGACUCCUACGGGAGGCAGCAGUGGGGAAUAUUGGACAAUGGGCGCAAGCCUGAUCCAGCCAUACCGCGUGGGUGAAGAAGGCCUUCGGGUUGUAAAGCCCUUUUGUUGGGAAAGAAAAGCAGCAGGUUAAUACCCCGCUGUUCUGACGGUACCCAAAGAAUAAGCACCGGCUAACUUCG